rnacentral:lncRNA from 1 species
AGUGUGUGUUCUAGUCGAAUAAUCCAGAGAAGACAGGAGCUCCCCAUAUCAAACCCUAACUAGCUCAAAAUUGACAAAUUGAAAGGGGAAAUCUAACCCAAAUCGAAAUCCAAGUACAAAUUCGUGAUCACCUCAGUGAAGGGAUCAUAAGUUUGGCGCUUAGCAAGCUAGGUGGAAGCUUGAGGAUGAAGCGGGUCAAACGAGCGAGUAUGGAAAGAAAAGCGUGGCAUGGAUGCAAGGGAAGAGCUAUAAGGUUCGCAAUGCUAUUAAUUGGUGAUUAAUAUCGAAAGGUAUAUUAAACGGGUUAAUACUUUGACCCAAGCCAGGUAUGUAUAAGUAUGAUUAUGGCAAAAAUGUAAAAUGGGUCAAAUACAUUGGUAGAAGUCCUUCGUCGUAAACGAGGGACCAAAGUUGACCAAAACACUCUUGAAGGGUAAUUUGGGCAAACGACCCAUAUGGGUUGUUUAGAGAUAUGAAUUAUGGUAAUGUAAGCCUUAGAUGGGUAUGUAAGUUUUAGGCAUAGACCUUCUCGGAUCAAAUGCCAAGAAUAGUCCUUUUGCCGUAGAGUGGCUAACCGAAGGGUAGAUUUCGAAUAAAUAAUUGCUACAUAUAAAAUCCACUACAAUAGUAGUCUUGGUGGAAGAUCACUCUAUGAAUAAUGUGAAAUUAUGAUGCUAGAAAGGAAUUAGAGUGGUUAUGCGUAAAAGCGCUUAAAUACCCUUAACGGGUCAAAUAAGCUCAUAAUUAUAGAUGGGUUAAUGAUGCAUAAUAACCCGUGAUUUAAAUCUUGUGUCAUUUGAAAUAAUUGAAAUGUGAUAUUCAUAGGAAUUUUGGAAUGGCAAACAUGUUCAUUUAAUGAAUUACGAAACGGGUCAAAAAUGUUAAAAAGGGAUUUCAAGCCGAGAGCUUGAAGUGCGAAUUUUGAAAGUAGUUGAAUAUCAGGUUUUAAUUCCCUAAGAUGGGGAAUUAAAUUAUGAACGCGUAGGAAAAAGAAUCGUGUAAAACGGAUCUGUAGACUAAAAGUUAUGGUUCUUGAAAGUUUGAUUUUUGAUAAAUAAACAUAGCUGGCAAAAGUGCAGGUCCCAGCUGCGGACCUGCUGGAAAACGGAUCAAUGACUAUCAUAUUUUUGGGUAAAUAUUAAAUCUAAAUUAAUUCUUAUAGUACAUAAAGUACAAGUGGAGGGGCAAUUUAGGUAUUGGAAAAGGGGUUUUUCGGGGCUUUGGAAUACACAGAGUACUGCACAAUGCAGUACAUGUCUAAUCAAAAUAGAAAAUUUUCAUUUAUCAAUAUCUUCUAACUCACCUUCUAUAUCAUCAAAAACAAAUUCAUCUUCAAACCUAUCUAUGAGUUCCACUUUCUUUUUCUGAUAAUACCCAGGUUGAGUAGGAUCACCAUCUUGCAUAAAAACACCACAUCCGGGACAAACAAGCCCUAAAGCUUUGUCAUCGUCUCUUCCCUCACUUAAAAGUGGUUGCUUUUUAUAUCUUUUUCUUGAACUUUUACCUGAAUUGUUGAUUGUUUGUGUUGUUGAUGAGCUAGAGUUUAGUGAUGAUGUAAUAUAUGGGUUCUUGUUCUUGAUGGGUUCAUUGUUUAACUCAAACGCUUAAGGAAGAUGAAGGGGUCG